rnacentral:lncRNA from 11 species
CUUUCUCCAAAGAACCCCAUUCCAGGUUUUGUAAGACGUCUUCAAGGCCUUGGAAGAAGGAGAGAAGAGCGAAGCUUCAAAGAUAACCGGGUUAUAGUUCUUAAACUGAUUUGCUUUUUGAGAAGGAAGGCAAGCAGGCAGGCAAGCAGGCAGACAUGCAGAAUCAGCCCCAAAUGUCCCUGCAAUGUAAAAACUAACAGGAAUGGAGCUGGAUCAUCCCUCUUCAUCCUCCCCAUUCAGACGCAAGGCAAUUUGUUUUUUUAAAAGAACACCAACAAAAGACAGAGAAUCAAAGGCAGAUGCUGUUUCCUCGCAUAAUAGUCGCACUCUCUUUAUUUUAAUGAAAAAGGCAACAAUUAUAUGCUGAAAUAUGGCCCAGGUCUUGAGUUCAUGCUUCUUCGUAGCUCACUCACAAGACGCUGGAAACGUGACCAUCCGCAUUGAAUUGCUCCCAAAGUACCCAAAGGUCGGAGACUCGGUUAAACUCAUCCCGGAGUUGACGGAUUGGGCCGUGACCUCCUGCCUGUGGCUCAGGAGCUUCGGCACCCACAACUAUCGGAUCUUCUUGCACGAGUUCCAGCCCAACGAUAAGAUCACGAAAGGAGAUGGCCAUGACGGGAAGCAGUUCCUCUUGCAGUACUGUGACUUGCUCAUCACCAAGCUGAACAUGAGGGACAUGGGGUUCUACAAGAUCAUCAAGACCACCACCGGGGAGACUGAGAUUGGAGAAGCCUUUCUGCAGAUCCUGGAAGACACUGAAGUGGUCACUCCUUCUCUAGAUCCGCCCAAACGAAAGGAGAGGGUCGACACCGUGGUCACCGUGGCAGGCAUCCUCGUCGGCUGCCUGAUCGGGGCCGUCUUAGUCGUCAGCCUGAUCUCUUGCCAGAUCACAAAACAACCGGAAGGCUUGGGUUCUGGAGAAGGUAGAAGCCCUCAUUCAUCAUCCAAACCUGGGAGCCAGCCAAGACUAAGCAUUCAUACCCUUGGACCUGGACCUGCACCCCAACCUGGGAGCCAGCAGAGACUAAGCAUUCAUACCCUUGUACCUGCACCCCAGAGCCAGCAGAGACUAAGCAUCCACAGCCUCGGACCCGUACCUACCUACACCUGAGUGAAAUCAGCCCAGGUGUCCGACCUGCAUCCCACCUGGAAUCCACCUGGACCCCAUGGACUUUCCUCCCAAGACCCUAAGAAGACGGAAAAGAAGAAGAAGCUCCAUCUUCCAGGAUCACCUCCCAAACAUCUUGACCAUACUUUGCACCCAUCCAGGCCCCUUGUUGCCCGGAGAGAAAGACAAACCCAUUAUAUAUCCUCGGAUGGAAUAAAAUCCUCCAGUGUCCACCAC